AAACAGAUGACCCAACGUUGCCUAAGUUAGAACAUGCACCGCUGCUGCCCAGGCUCCAAUAAGGGCAGGGUUGGCGCGUGUGGGCUUCUCUAAAGGGAAACAUGGCCAGUAAUUUUAAAAUCCAUCCCCUCUUCAAUGAUAGCAAAUAUAAAAGCAACGGGCUGCAAGGUACACGUAUGUUUAAUGAAAAAUGGAGGGACGUGGUCACAUUAGAUGAAUCUGUACCUUGGGACCACCACACCGUUAAUAUAUAAGACUGGAUUACAAUUAAAGGAUGAGGAAGCUUUCUCAAAGGGUGCUUUGUAUGUGUUUACUAGUUGUGCAAACCAUGAACCUCGGUAAUGUGGUUAAUAGACCAUGAAAAGGAUGUGGUUUCUGCCCUCGGCUUAAAACAAAGACAGCAAUAAGACUAAAAGUACUUCAGGGCACAUGAGAGCAAAUUUCAAUCAAUACUUAUAGGAGAGGGAAGUUAAUUUUGCCUGAAGAGAAGAUCUGGCCUGCAUUAUGCAUUAAUUAGUAUUAGCUAAAAACUAUGUGGACCUAGCCCUUAUCAUUAAAAUAAAACACUCAAGGGUUUACAAACUAUUGAAAUUUAAGAAAAUGUCUUUGCAAUGAAUGCUACUAAGACUCACUGUUAUUAAGUACAUACAUAUCAAUUCCAUAAACUCAAUGGAAAACAUUUUACUGUGCUUGUAAAAAGAAGUGACUCAUAAACAGGAAUUCUGUCAUUUUAUCACUUUCAUGAUAGAAUGAUGUGUAGAAUUUGUUUUACAAUGCUCCAGAAAUAAAAUGUAGGGAAUGGAAAGAAGAUAGGUGAAAGAAAAGUGGUGCAACAUCAGUCAGUGUUGAAGCUAAGUUCAUUUUGCUACUUUACCUACUCAUGCAUAUGUUGGAAAAUUUACAAAAUGAAAAGCUAAAAGGAGAGAGAGCAUCUUCAGCAUGAAAGACAGCCAUUACCAAAGCAUUUCCUAUCUUUAACAAAAACUGAAGUCUUAGCCUUCAGACUAAGGAUGGUAGGAAGAAAGUAGCAAGGAAGUAUGGGACUGACCUUGCCGUAAGGAGUCACAGACCAGGCUGUCUCUCUUUUGGCCUGCUGCCAUCCGCGUAAGACAUGACUUACUCCUCCGUGCCUUCCACCAUGAUUGUGAGGCUUCCCCAGCCAUGAGGAACUAAUACCCAUCCCAUAGAUGUACUUGGGAUAGACAGCUUCUGGCACUCCUCCCAAGAUCUCUCCCUCCUGGUUACAAAAACCUGAGACUUCCAUUUUGCUGGAAACUUCUUUUCCUCUUGCACACUCACUCUGCGACUCUGUGUGGAGAGCUCCAUGUGACAAGGGAGGUCUGCAGCCUAAGCAACUGAGACCUCAGCCCAACAGCCCUCAAAGAACUGGAUCUUCAAACAACCACAUGAGUGACCUAGAAGCAAAUCUGUCACCAGUGCUCUUGAGACGGAGAAAAGAUCAUGAUCUAAGAGUCUACAAGACCAGAGCAGCCUGAAUUGCUGAGCUGCCUGGUGGAGAAUAGCAGCAUUGGGUGGUUCCCAGGAUUCUUAAAAGGACUUUACAAAGGCCUGGCCUAAUCACUUAAGAGCUCUUAAGGAGUGAAUGGGCUCUUCCUGAAAAAAGAGCUUCUGCUAACCCUGAAAAGCAAGCAACAACCCUGUGAACUGCUAUGGAGAGAGAUGGCCUCUAACAGCUGAGGACCUCAGUCCUACAACCACAAGAAACUGAUUUCUGCCAACAACAUGAAUGAACUUGGAAAAGGCCCCUGAGCUCCAGAUGAGAACACCCAGGUCAACUCAGGUCAUGAGCAGAGAACCCUGUUAUAUUCUCCUUGGCUUGUGAUCCAUAAACAAUGAGAUUAU
rnacentral:lncRNA from 1 species